rnacentral:rRNA from 1 species
AAUGAACGCUGGCGGCAUGCCUAACACAUGCAAGUCGAACGGUAACAGGAAGAAGCUUGCUUCUUUGCUGACGAGUGGCGGACGGGUGAGUAAUGUAUGGGAAACUGCCUGAUGGAGGGGGAUAACUACUGGAAACGGAAGCUAAUACCGCAUAAUGUCGCAAGAGCAAAGAGGGGGACCUUCGGGCCUCUUGCCAUCCGAUGGGCCCAGGUGGGAUUAGCUAGUAGGUGGGGUAACGGCUUACCAAGGCAACGAUCCAUAGCCGACCUGAGAGGGUGAUCGGCCACACUGGAACUGAGACACGGUCCAGACUCCUACGGGAGGCAGCAGUAGGGAAUCUUCCGCAAUGGGCGAAAGCCUGACGGAGCAACGCCGCGUGAGUGAUGAAGGCCUUCGGAUCGUAAAACUCUGUUAUUAGGGAAGAACAUAUGUGUAAGUAACUGUGCACAUCUUGACGGUACCUAAUCAGAAAGCCACGGCUAACUACGUG